rnacentral:rRNA from 1 species
CUACGGGACGCUCCAGUGGGGAAUAUUGCACAAUGGGCGCAAGCCUGAUGCAGCCAUGCCGCGUGUAUGAAGAAGGCCUUCGGGUUGUAAAGUACUUUCAGCGGGGAGGAAGGGAGUAAAGUUAAUACCUUUGCUCAUUGACGUUACCCGCAGAAGAAGCACCGGCUAACUCCGUGCCAGCAGCCGCGGUAAUACGGAGGGUGCAAGCGUUAAUCGGAAUUACUGGGCGUAAAGCGCACGCAGGCGGUUUGUUAGGUCAGAUGUGAAAUCCCCGGGCUCAACCUGGGAACUGCAUCUGAUACUGGCAAGCUUGAGUCUCGUAGGGGGAGGUAGAAUUCCAGGUGUAGCGGUGAAAUGCGUAGAGAUCUGGAGGAAUACCGGUGGCGAAGGCGGCCCCCUGGACGAAGACUGACGCUCAGGUGCGAAAGCGUGGGGAGCAAACAGGAUUAGAUACCCCUGUAGUC